rnacentral:rRNA from 1 species
GUACACGCUGUGACUAGCAUAUCAAUAAGCGGAGGAAAAGAAACUAACAAGGAUUCCCCUAGUAACGGCGAGUGAAGCGGGAAGAGCUCAAAUUUGAAAUCUUAAAGGGUUUCCCUUUACGAAUUGUAGUUUAAAGAAGUGUUUUCUGUUGAGGUUUUGGUAAAAGUUCUUUGGAAUAGGACAUCAUAGAGGGUGAGAAUCCCGUAUUUGACCUUUACUUUCAACUUUGUGAUACACUUUCAAAGAGUCGGAUUGUUUGGGAAUGCAGUCCAAAGUGGGUGGUAAAUUUCAUCUAAAGCUAAAUAUUGGCGAGAGACCGAUAGCGAACAAGUACCGUGAGGGAAAGAUGAAAAGAACUUUGAAAAGAGAGUUAAACAGUACGUGAAAUUGUCAAAAGGGAAGCGUUUGACACCAGUGUUGUUUUUCUGAAAAUCAAUUAAAGAACUGUUUAUGCUAAGCUGUUUAGACUUUAUCAGCUAUCUGUUUAGUUUUGAGCUUUUCUUUAAUGCACUUUUCAGUUAACAAGUCAACAUCAGUUUCUUUUGCUGUAAAAAAGCUUGAGGAAGGUGGCUUGAGAUUCGUCUUAAGUGUUUAUAGCCUCUUGCCUAUGCAGUCGGAGAGAUUGAGGUCUGCAGCGUAGAUCCUUCGGGGCUAAAUGCAUUUGUGCUAAGUUAUAGCAUUUUAUAGACAACUUGUUGACUAUGAUUUGUCUUGUAGCUUACUCGCUUAUGUUAUUUUACCUACGCUUAGGAUGUUGAGUCGUAGAGCACGCAG